rnacentral:misc_RNA from 1 species
GAUGAAGAACGCAGCGAAAUGCGAUAAGUAAUGUGAAUUGCAGAAUUCCGUGAAUCAUCGAAUCUUUGAACGCACAUUGCGCCCUCUGGUAUUCCGAGGGGCAUGCCUGUUCGAGCGUCAUUAUAACCCCUCAAGCUCAGCUUGGUGUUGGGGCCUGCUGCACUGGCAGCCCUUAAAAUCAGUGGCGGCGCCAUCUGGCUCUAAGCGUAGUAAUUCUUCUCGCUAUGGAGUCCUGGUGGAUGCUUGCCAUCAACCCCCAAUUUUUCUAUGGUUGACCUCGGAUCAGGUAGGGAUACCCGCUGAACUUAAGCAUAUCAAUAAGCGGAGGA